UUGAGGAAAAUCUUCGUGGUUAUUUUGUUUUGUCUCUCUUUCACUGAUUUCGUUGUUGUGCUGUGAAGGGAGCACUCUCAGACUGCAUUCUUUCCCUAAUUGGGUUUUCUUUUUCUUAUCGCAAGUCAGCCUCAACAAUGAUCCGAGGGUGGACCAAAAUGGAAUACUCGAACAUCCCUGCAAAGUUGAAUAUGAUACACAGGAUCGUCGUCUUCAAUUUAGUGGCCCAAAUAGGCCACAACAGGAAGUUCAAGGUUCUUGAUAGCGAAAGAGGCAACGGCUAUUGUAGGCAGUUAUUUCCAUCGUAUAAAAUGAAGAUAAGGGAAACCAAGCAAAGCAUGUAUUCAUAGGAGAGGGCUGCAUAAACAUGUCUUCGAUUUUCUCCACAAAUGCAAUGUGCUUGUGAGUUUCAAUGAACUUCAAAUCUAUUGAUCCUUUAUUCAAAAUUGUAGUUUUACAAA